rnacentral:tRNA from 1 species
GCGCCCUGCGACACGUACGCAGUGGCACGGAAGAACCGGACUUCCCGUCCGAUGGCCGCAGGCCCAAACCCUGCCGGGCGCGCCA